rnacentral:rRNA from 1 species
UACGUAGGGAGCAAGCGUUGUCCGGAAUCAUUGGGCGUAAAGCGCGCGUAGGUGGCCUCGUAAGUCCGCUGUGAAAGUCAAAGGCUCAACCUUUGAAAGCCGGUGGAUACUGUGAGGCUAGAGUACGGAAGAGGCGAGUGGAAUUCCUGGUGUAGCGGUGGAAUGCGCAGAUAUCAGGAGGAACACCAAUAGCGAAGGCAGCUCGCUGGGACGUAACUGACACUGAGGCGCGAAAGCGUGGGAGCGAACAGG